rnacentral:rRNA from 1 species
AGAAUCAACGCUGGCGGCGUGCCUAACACAUGCAAGUCGAACGAGAAAGUGGAGCAAUCCAUGAGUAAAGUGGCGACCGGGUGAGUAACACGUGACUAACCUACCUUCAAGUGGGGGAUAACCUCGGGAAACCGGGGCUAAUACCGCAUAACAUCUUUGGAGUGGAAAUUCUGGAGAUCAAAGGAGCAAUUCGCUGGAAGAGGGGGUCGCGGCUGAUUAGCUAGUUGGCGGGGUAAUGGCCCACCAAGGCUUUGAUCGGUAGCCGGCCUGAGAGGGCGCACGGCCACACUGGAACUGAAACACGGUCCAGACUCCUACGGGAGGCAGCAGUGGGGAAUUUUGCGCAAUGGGGGAAACCCUGACGCAGCAACGCCGCGUGGAGGAUGAAGUCCCUUGGGACGUAAACUCCUUUCGACCGGGAAGAUGAUGACGGUACCGGUGGAAGAAGCCCCGGCUAACUUCGCGCCAGCAGCCGC